rnacentral:lncRNA from 1 species
AGGGCCCUUCCCUGGGCUCACCUUCUGCAGACAAAGCUGCAGGCUCUUCCUGCAUCCUCUCCCUUCAACAUCUCACUGGGAGCAUUGGCCACUGCCAGAGUGGAUGGCGCUCUUAAAUGGUGAACUCUAUUCUUCAUUCACUAACACAUUAAUUUAAAAAUUAGAAUCUUCCAUUGGUAAUGAAGUGGAGCAGCUGCAGAACAAAUUUUUGUUUUUUCACAUGUGUGACAACCGGUGGUGGAGCAGCAGAGAGGAGAAUUGGAAAUUAUAGUCUCCUAAAGCACUCCAAAAGGAUUUAUUAAACCACGUCAGUCAGAACCAGAAAGCGGAGUUGUAAGAGCUGUGGUUUUGUAUAAGAGGAAAAUUCUGUUGGUGUAAGAGUUGUUGCUUUUUUCUUAAGAGUUUGAAGCAUGAGUAGACUGAAGUCUUGUUUUGGGUAAAGAGAAAUCAACAGUUUGUACCAAAAGUGUUCUGAAGAUACAGAGAAGUACUGAGUAUUUUUGUUUAAUAUUUCAAUUAUUUUUGAGUGGGGAAGCAGUACAGCAAAGUCAGAUGGUCUGUUUGAUCCUAAUUUUGUGGUAGGAAUGCUUUUUGGUACCUUCCUGCAGACUGGUAUAUGUAGCAUCCAGGCUGGAAACACAGGGUGAGAUAAUGGAAUUGUUUAGGAGAGACUCGUGCCUGCCUUUCUGUGUGUGGGUUGGGCUGAAGUUCUCUAUCUGCUUUAUUUUGUUCAUUACCUUGUUGUGUGCUGCAGAGGGUGAGAGCAGUGAGUUAUCAGGCACAGCACUGAAGGGGAAGAUGAAGAUAGCCUUCUUGUCCCACAAGAAGUGGGAGGUGAAGCAGCAAUGACGGGAAGACUGAUUCAGGAAGAUAAUGCAGUAGCUUACAGCAUGGGGGACAGGAGAGCUCCUCGGAGGUGAGCAGCAGUUCUUGCAUGACCGGUGGCUCUCACCACACGUCGCUACCACACAGAAGUUCCUUGUUCGUGCAUGGUGGCCUUCAGACAGACCUGCUCAAAUUCCUGCAUUUUGGAAUGGGCUGCUUUGAGGAGGUUUUGUGUCACAAAAGAAUCCCAAGAAGGGGAAAAAAUAAAUAGUUUCUUGCUCUGGCCUGGCAAUUGCAAGCUUGGUGUUUCCUGCUCUCUACACACGGAAUCCUUGCCUCUGGCUAAGGUGUGGUACAUCCAGGAGCUGGGUCAGAAUGUUUACUUUGGUCAGAUAAGUGCAGGGAUUUUC